UACAGAGGCCUCGAGCGUUAGGCGGAAUCACUGGGCUUAAAGCGUGUGUAGGCGGACUUCUAAGUGCCUCGUGAAAUCCCACGGCUCACCCGUGGAACUGCUGGGCAUACUGGGAGUCUUGAGCCACCUAGGGGCGAGCGGAACAAAUGGUGGAGCGGUGAAAUGCGUAGAUAUCAUUUGGAACGCCAACGGAGAAAUCAGCUCGCUGGGGGUGUGCUGACGCUGAGACACGAAAGCCAGGGGAGCAAACGGG
rnacentral:rRNA from 1 species